GACGAACGCUGGCGGCGUGCUUAACACAUGCAAGUCGAGCGGUAAGGCCCUUUCGGGGGUACACGAGCGGCGAACGGGUGAGUAACACGUGGGUGACCUGCCCUCAGCUCUGGGAUAAGCCUGGGAAACCGGGUCUAAUACUGGAUAUGACUCCAUGACGCAUGUUGUGGGGUGAAAGCCUUGUGCGGCUGAGGAUGGGCCCGCGGCCUAUCAGCUUGUGUGGGU
rnacentral:rRNA from 1 species